CAUGCAAGUCGAACGAAGCACUUUAUUUGAUUUCCUUCGGGACUGAUUAUUUUGUGACUGAGUGGCGGACGGGUGAGUAACGCGUGGGUAACCUGCCUUGUACAGGGGGAUAACAGUUGGAAACGGCUGCUAAUACCGCAUAAGCGCACAGCAUCGCAUGAUGCAGUGUGAAAAACUCCGGUGGUAUAAGAUGGACCCGCGUUGGAUUAGCUAGUUGGUGAGGUAACGGCCCACCAAGGCGACGAUCCAUAGCCGACCUGAGAGGGUGACCGGCCACAUUGGGACUGAGACACGGCCCAAACUCCUACGGGAGGCAGCAGUGGGGAAUAUUGCACAAUGGGCGAAAGCCUGAUGCAGCGACGCCGCGUGAGCGAAGAAGUAUUUCGGUAUGUAAAGCUCUAUCAGCAGGGAAGAUAAUGACGGUACCUGACUAAGAAGCACCGGCUAAAUACGUGCCAGCAGCCGCGGUAAUACGUAUGGUGCAAGCGUUAUCCGGAUUUACUGGGUGUAAAGGGAGCGCAGGCGGUGCGGCAAGUCUGAUGUGAAAGCCCGGGGCUCAACCCCGGUACUGCAUUGGAAACUGUCGUACUAGAGUGUCGGAGGGGUAAGCGGAAUUCCUAGUGUAGCGGUGAAAUGCGUAGAUAUUAGGAGGAACACCAGUGGCGAAGGCGGCUUACUGGACGAUAACUGACGCUGAGGCUCGAAAGCGUGGGGAGCAAACAGGAUUAGAUACCCUGGUAGUCCACGCCGUAAACGAUGGAUACUAGGUGUUGGGAAGCAUUGCUUCUCGGUGCCGUCGCAAACGCAGUAAGUAUUCCACCUGGGGAGUACGUUCGCAAG
rnacentral:rRNA from 1 species